UCAAGUCCUCAUGGCCCUUAUGGUAGGGCUUCACACGUCAUACAAUGGUCGGUACAGAGGGUUGCCAAACCGCGAGGUGGAGCCAAUCCCUUAAAGCCGAUCGUAGUCCGGAUCGUAGUCUGCAACUCGACUACGUGAAGUCGGAAUCGCUAGUAAUCGCAGAUCAGCAUGCUGCGGUGAAUACGUUCCCGGGUCCUU
rnacentral:rRNA from 1 species